GGGAGGCAGCAGUGGGGAAUCUUGCACAAUGGAGGAAACUCUGAUGCAGCGAUGCCGCGUGAGUGAAGAAGGCCUUUGGGUUGUAAAGCUCUUUCGUCGGGGAAGAAAAUGACUGUACCCGAAUAA
rnacentral:rRNA from 1 species